UACGGGGGGGGCAAGCGUUGUUCGGAAUUACUGGGCGUAAAGGGCGCGUAGGCGGUUUGCUAAGUUGGAUGUGAAAACUCUGGGCUUAACCCAGAGCCUGCAUCCAAAACUGGCAAACUUGAGUACUGGAGGGGAAAGCGGAAUUCCUGGUGUAGCGGUGAAAUGCGUAGAUAUCGGGAGGAACACCAGAGGCGAAGGCGGCCACCUGGACAGACACUGACGCUGAGACGCGAAAGCGUGGGGAGCAAACAGG
rnacentral:rRNA from 1 species